UCCUAGCCCUAAACGUUGAUCACUAGAUGUAGGAAGUAUUGACCCUUUCUGUGUCGAAGCUAACGUAUUAAGUGAUCCGCCUGGGGAGUACGAUCGCAAGGUUGAAACUCAAAGGAAUUGACGGGGGCCCGCACAAGCGGUGGAGCAUGUGGCUUAAUUCGACGAUACGCGAGGAACCUUACCUGGUCUUGACAUGUAGGAAGUAGAAACCUGAAAGGGUGACCACCGGUAUC
rnacentral:rRNA from 1 species